UUCCUUAUAGUUUAAUAAUAAAAAAUGUAGAAUUGCAAAUUCUAAGAUAAGAAAUCUUUAAGGGGU
rnacentral:tRNA from 1 species